rnacentral:rRNA from 1 species
UGAACGCUGGCGGCGUGCCUCCUACAUGCACGUCGAGCGACCAGACGAGGAGCUUGCUCCUCUGACGUUAGCGGCGGACGGGUGAGUAACACGUGGAUAACCUACCUAUAAGACUGGGAUAACUUCGGGAAACCGGAGCUAAUACCGGAUAAUAUAUUGAACCGCAUGGUUCAAUAGUGAAAGACGGUUUUGCUGUCACUUAUAGAUGGAUCCGCGCCGCAUUAGCUAGUUGGUAAGGUAACGGCUUACCAAGGCAACGAUGCGUAGCCGACCUGAGAGGGUGAUCGGCCACACUGGAACUGAGACACGGUCCAGACUCCUACGGGAGGCAGCAGUAGGGAAUCUUCCGCAAUGGGCGAAAGCCUGACGGAGCAACGCCGCGUGAGUGAUGAAGGUCUUCGGAUCGUAAAACUCUGUUAUUAGGGAAGAACAAAUGUGUAAGUAACUAUGCACGUCUUGACGGUACCUAAUCAGAAAGCCACGGCUAACUACGUG